rnacentral:lncRNA from 1 species
GGCAAACACAGAAUGAGAUACUGUAAACAAGAUAAGGAUUUGUGUCUUUAGCAUGAAAUCAAUAGUCUUUUCAUAUAAAAGGUAUAGGUAAUAGACACACACAACAUAUUCUUCGUCUAUUUAGCUAAAAAUUAUAUUGAUCGGCCUAUCCGAUCUUUUUUAUUUCACUAUAAUCAAAAUGAAAUGUGCAUACUGGGCAACGUUCACGUGAUGACAUAUUUUCUUUUUUUAGAACUCUCGUUGCUAUUAAACUUUUUCCCUUUAUUAUAUAUUUUUUUCCCUAUAAUUGUGUGUACUUAUUGUGCAUUUCAAAACAGUUUUGCAUAUAACCAACAAAUAAAAAUGUAUUUUAAUAGCAAACCAUGUGUGUUGUUUACAUUUACAAUUUUGUAUGGUGGUCCACAGACUGACAUUGAUAUUUUGAAGAAUUUAUUUUUAUUAUUUAGUCUUUAUAAGGUCAUUUUUCAAUAUGACCAGAGCAAGAAGGUCCUGUAAAGCUGGUGGUAAACCCUAUCGUCUAACAAGUACACUGUACAGAGUGAAGCCAGGGAAGGGGGGGGUUACGUAUGAUAUUGAGACCAAAGCAUGCUUCCUUUCCGUCUGUUUGUCCACCUACAUACACUGUUUUGCCACCAAAUGAAGGUCUUAAGUUAAAGAUAUGUAAGAAUAAACCUGUUCUAGCCGAAGGCUAUAGGUUACUGAACUUGGAUCUACUCAGGAAACACAUAUUACAAAUAACAUUGCAUGUAAUUCAAUGCCCAAAGGUAUGUGAUAUGAAAGAUAUUGAACCACUAAAGCUCUUUUUUGAUGAAAGAAAUCUUGGUCUUGCUAGUGUUAUGUUUGCAGAGUGUCAAGGUUGUCACAAGCAGUUCAAGUUCACAUCAAGCCCAAUGUUGAGCAAUGACAUGUUUGAUGUCAAUGUACGAGGGGUAUGGGGUUCCAUGGUAACAGGUGAUGGUGGUGCCCAGUUGGGUGAAACCAUGGCAACUUUUAGCUGUCCAAGUAUUUCGUCAAAUUCAUUUACUAAAAUAGAGACAGAAAUAAGCAAGUGGUGGUUAGAUACCCUCCAAGAAGACAUUUUAGCUGCAGGUAUUGAAGAGAGAAAUCUAGCUAUUGAUAGAAAUGAUUUUUUUCAGGGUGUCCCUGCAAUAACAGUUAUUUGUGAUGGUGGCUGGUCAAAAAGGGCGCACAAGCAUACUUACAAUGCUUUAGGGGGCGUGGCCAUCAUCAUCGGCGCAGCAACAGGUAAAAUUCUCCACGUAGGUGUGAGAAACAAGUUUUGUUACAUCUGCAAAACUGCCCAGACAAAAGGUGUACCUCCAAAAGCUCAUGAGUGCUUUAUGAAUUGGACUGGCAGCAGUCAGGCAAUGGAGGCUGACAUCAUUGUCGAGGGUUUUCUCGAGGCUGAACGAAAACAUGGUGUAAGGUAUAUGCGUCUUGUUGCCGAUGGUGACAGCUCUGUUGAAGCUCGAAUAAGGCAGCAUGUUCCAGUCUGGGGACAACGUGUCGAGAAAAUAGAGUGUGCUAAUCACGCAUGUAAAUGUCUUCGUUCACACCUUGAGCAACUGGUAAUGGAUAAGCCUAGCUAUAAGGGAAAGAAUAAGUUGACAAAAGCUAAUCGAUUACGCAUUACCAGUUCCAUUCGCUGCGCUAUCCGUCGACGAGCACAAGAGGAAAAUCGACCGCUGGCUAUAAGGAAACUGAAGCAUGACAUCCUUAAUACAGUGAAUCAUGUAUUUGGUAUACAUGAAAACUGUAGUGACGAUUUCUGUAAGGUAGCAAAGCAAAGGAAGGAAUCAGCUAGCACAAAUGAAACUUUACAUGUAUGCACUCAAAAUCAAACUUUAUUAUGUAUGUUCAUCACAGUCAGUUGUCGAGGAUGAAAUUAGCACAAAUCCCACUGACAAUGAGGAUGUUAUUGCUUCAGUUUUAGAUGAGCAAAGUACACUUUGGUCCGAAAUCUCAUCUUUGACCGCCCAGGAGGAGUCGCGAGGCGAUAGUUUAAACCCUGUCUCCCAUGUUGACCCUGUUUUAAGACAAGACAUUUCGCGUUUGCUUGUAAGGUUAGAAAAUAAAGCCAGCAGUUUGAUAACUUGUCAGACAACCAAUCUUGCCGAAAAUUGGAUGUCGAUCCGAGCAAAGUUUGACGGAGGCAAGUUUUACAACAGGGUCAACCGUGGUUCAUGGCAUGCACGAUGCUAUGGUGGUGGGCUUAGGAAAAAUUUCGGUCCUAAGUGGUCACCAACGGUAUGGGAGAAGGUUACUGGCACUAAGGCUGGUCAAUGGUUUGAUAUCCAUUAUAACCGUAGGUCGAAGAAGCUUCUUUUGAACAGGUUGUACAAAAGUCGCCCUGAAUACAAGGCCAGAGCUUACCAAAGAAAAAUUAAAUCUGCUGCUGUAUCUGCCAAGAGUAAGUCUACUCUUGAGUAUGGCAAAGACGCCCUUGAAUGUAUUCCUGAUGUUAGUUCUGACACUCUGCAGGCUGAUAUUCAGGAAUACCUUGGUAAGCACAUCAAUGUUGAUGAGGCCGUAUUGACUGCCCUAGAGACCCAGACCAAAGAACAGUCUCAUAGUGGAGUCUGGCAUGAGGAAAGGCGUAAGCGGAUCACUGCAUCUGCUUUCGCUGAUGUUGUGCGACGUAAUCCUGGGAUCAAGGUUGAACCUCUUGUCAGACGAUUCUUGUAUUCAACCUUUCGUGGUAAUUGUUUUACUAGAAAGGGUUUACAAGAGGAAGCUAAUUCAAAAAAGGAUUAUAUCCUUAAUAGGGCAGUCAAUUGUAUUAACGUGGUUAGGAUAGAGGACAUGGGAUUGGUCGUUUCAAGGGAACAUCCCUUUCUUGGUGCCAGUACUGACGGCAAAGUCUUUGUUCAAGGGGGAGAGUGUGGCUUAAUUGAAAUAAAAAAUGUCUUGCAUAACAAUACUAUGUCUAUUGUUGAAGCCACACAGAAGGUAAGUAAUUUCCCCCUUGAACGGAAGAAUGGGAAUUUUUUCAUUAAAAAAUCCCAUUCUCAUUACCACCAGAUACAAGGGCAACUGAAUAUAUUGAAUUGCUCCUGGUGUGACUUUGUUGUAAGACGUACCAAUCCCUUUGACAUGGUAGUGCUUAGAAUAAUUAAAGAUGUUGAUUUAUGGGUAAAUACAAUGGUUCCAAAACUGAAGGCAUUUUAUUUUAAGGCUCUUUUACCAGAACUUGUCCAUCCGCGUCACCGAAAACAGCCCGGUAUUCGCGAACCUGGAGUUUGGUUUGAACAACGCCCCAAAGCAAAACCCAGAAAAAGGCAUGCAAGUUGCCCUGACAGUCCGUUGCCCUUAAUUUCUGCUCCUGUGGCCAAAUCUUCUCGUAAAUGUCAAUCUAAGACAAAAUUUCUGAAUCGCCGCAUAUCACACAAAUGGAUUAUAGAUGAGGCUUCAGGGACAUCAGAAUGGUAUGCUGGUACUGUUACUAGCAUAGUUUCUGGUGUUGAUGGUGCCCCAGAUACAAUUUAUGAUGUGCAAUAUGACAACGAGUCAGAAGCUUUUGAGGUUGACCAUUUACAGGAAGAUUUGAGCACAGGAUCUUUGAAAUUUUUGUAAGGCCUGUAUAGCAAUAUCUUGUAUAACAUUUAUUCUACAUACUGCUUUCUGUUGAUUUAAUAUAAAUACAUAUAGAUAUAAUAUUGUAUUGAGAAUUUGCAGUUUAUUUUUUAAUCAGUAUUAAUUUUAAUUUAAAGUAAUUUCACAUUCAAUGUUUGCUAUACAGGCCUUAUCUAAAACACCUUUUGAUCAAUAUUACAACAUGUACCCCUAAUCUGCACAUAUCAAUUUUUUGCUAUUCAAUAUUGUUGAAAACUGGUUUUAUAUUUAAUUAACACAAACUUGUACAUGACAUCAAAUUUUUAGAAAUAUUCGAUAAUUUUAAGCAAACUAUAAUGUUUAACAUUACACUUAACUGGGCUUUUAAAUUUUAAAUUUGAUCUGCAAUUUCUUUAUUCACAAUCAUAUUUAUGAUUAUAUUUUUAUCCCUUUAAUUAAUAAAGUGCAACUUGCAUGAUACCUUUUAGGACAACGGUGCGAAAAUGACAAUAUAAGCAUUAAUUAAAUAUAACAUGUAUGCCUUUAGUUGUGGAACCAUUGUGUCUGAUAAAAGUAGGUAGCGCUAACUCUUAAUACUGUAUUCCUUCAAUAUUUAACAUACAAUAUAUACACAAUUGUUGUUUUGUAUAAACCACAAUGCCAUCAUUUUCUUCGCAUAUGACAUUGUAAAAAAUAUCUCAAUCAACAUUGAUAAGAAAAAAGGGUGCUUUUAUACUCAUAUUAAGGCAAAAAAAUAAAAGAUCCAUUUUAUAUAUAUUUUCAAUGACUAAUUCAAUUUUCAUAAUAUAAGGGUGUGUAUACAUUUUGCUAAUUUAUUUAUUCUCAACAUCUUUAAUUAUCCUUGAUACUGCAUGUUGACGACAUGGACACCAUUGUGUAUUCAGACAGAUAGACGACAUUGACAUAAAUACAAAAUUUUGGGAGUGCAUACAUGUACAUGUAUAUGAAUAUUUCAAACUAUACAUUUUAUCUUUGUUCAUUUUUGCAUAUAGAGUUUGAAAAAGUUAAACUUCUUCAGUAAUUAUCAUUUUGAAUUGAUUUCUUAAUAUUAUAUUAUAAAUAAAAAAAUCAAAUAAGUUUUCAUUAUUAAAACAAAAAUCUUGAUAAAAAUUUGUUUGGUUACAGUCUGCAACGUUAGUUUGAGAUUAUUAAAACAAUUAGCACAGGUACAUGUAUGCUCUAUAUAUAUACAUUGUACGCAGAACCUUUAGUUCAUUUGAGUUUCUGCUUAUUGAUUAAUAUUAUCUACAUAACAGGUACAAUGUACAUACAGUAUGUAGCAGUCAUACAAUGUAGUUUUUUUCAUUAUUUCACAAGGUUGUAAAGCCAUUUUAAAAAACAGGAAUAAUUUAACCAAAUUAUGGGCCUGGCCUCAGGCUCACCUGAAUUAAAAGUUCUACAUGGUGCCCCUAUUCACUUUUAAAUUUUUUGUUUUAACAUUUCUUAUUUUCAAUUCAUUCAUUUGUUACAUUUAAAAUUGAGAUAUGAAAUAUUUUACAUAAAUGUAAGCAAUGUAUGUACAAUGUACAUAUCUAAUGCAACGUUGCAUUUUUUGGUCAAGUCUUGCAGUUAACAAGAAGUAAUGCAGAAUUUUUUAAUAUCAGGUUUUAAAAGGGUGCUUGGAAAGGAAAAGUGCAAUGUACUUGUAUAACAACAUAAAUUUUAUGUUUAUCAAAGUCAUGGUGAUCUUGAUUUAAACAAAUACAUAAAAUGUACUCAUAUGUUAAUUAGAUUCAUGAAAUAAAUUUUUGUUCAUAUCUGACACAACCUUUUCAUAAUAUAGGCCACACUUAAGGUUUCAAACCACUAAAACGCUUUCCCUCAGAAGUUUGAUGGCAUAAAGUAAACUGUACUAAGAAAAAAUAGUUACUGUGAUUUGCUGUAUAAAAUGUAUCACAAGCUGUAUUUCCACAAAGUUGGUAUUAUUUGAAAGAUAAUUAAUUCUGGAAUACUCACAUCCAAAUAUAAAAGAUUAUUUAAAGUUUUAAAAAAUAUGAAAGCCAUUUGCAAAAUGUGUAUAUUAAGAAUUUUGGGAAACUAUUGUUUGUUUAUUUUUGACAACCGUCACUUCUGGAUGUCAGACUUUUCUUAUAUGCUUGUUAACCUAUGGUGAUUUUUUGAGAGCUGUUAGAAGGCAUAAAUACAUUUGAGGAAAUCAUAAUGCCAGUCUAGUUAAACUUAAGGUAAAUAAAGGAAAGAGGGUAGAAAAAUCAAAAUUUACAAAGAGUUAUACAGUAAAAUUCUUUGGCGGUUUGAAACCUUAAAAGUGUUUAUUAUUUUAUAUAUUUUUUCAUUUUUACAGUAGUUUGAUUAAAUCUCAAUACCUGCAGUUACACUGUCUUUUUUUUCAGUGUAGAAACACACAACUUGUGUUAAAGUAUUUUGAGAAAUUGAUACUUUAAAUCUUUGAGAACUAAACAAUACAUGUAAUAUGAAAUUAAACAGUAUUCAAAUAUACAUUGAUUUUUUAUAACUACAUAAUUUUUUAAAACUAGGUUAUAACAACCCAAUGCAAUAUUAACACCCUCAAAUGAAACAUUAUACCAGUACUAAGCUGUUAUCUGUCUCUGUUUUAGUAAUAUAAAUUUAACUGCAUACAAAAUUUAUAACAGUCUAUUUAACAGUAAAUAUAUUGAUAUCAGAAUGGUCUAUAUAUGAUAAUAAUAAUAAUUAAAUCUGUGCAAAAAAAUGCAUGCAGCUUUGACUGCUCUAGUGGCUAUCAUCAUGUUCAUUAUGAUGAUUUGUAUUGUAUAUAAUGAACAUUUGUUUAAUAAAGUCUAUAUCGAUAUCUGUCAUAUAAAUGAAAUACUUGGACAACAAUAUAGUUGUGUAUGGUUGAUGUCGUGCUCACAUUGGAUUGAAUUACACAUUUUGUUAUACUUUUUAAAUGGGGUGUAUACUAUACCUGUACGUCAUUACCCGACUGUACAUUUGAUAACCUUAGAAUGAUAGAUAAGAAGUAUAUGUGAUACUACAGGACAUUUAUAGUUGUGUAGCUACAGUAUUUAGUUGUUUUUAGCUUGUGACAUCUGACCCUUUGCAACCAUAACUCAUAUAGAUACAUGUACAUUUUUGUAUAUGCAACAAAACUUUUAAAAACAUUUCACAGCGAGAUACAUAUAAAUGUAUCUGUUAUAAUAAAAUGAAAAUGUUAUACACUAAAGUUUAACCUUUACACAAUGUGCUCAAAGUAUUAAUAAAAAAGUACAUUCACAAGUACAUGUACAUGUAGCCGAAGACCAGGGUUUUGAUUUUAUCACUAACUUUUUAAAAAAUCAUAUUUUUAUGCCAAUGCUUUUACAAGACCUGAUUUAUAUGUUUGUGAUAUUUUUCAUAACUUUAAAUUAAUUUCCCUAAUUACAAACUAUUGCCUUUUUAGUCCGCCUCAACGAAGUUGUGAAGGACUAUUGUACUACCCCCGGCGUCCAUGUCCGCGUCCGAGGUGUUUUCUCAGAGACCAUGAUAGCUAGAACCAUGAAACCUAGCUUAUUGUUUCAGAAACAAAAAUUGGAACUUGCCCAUAUUAAAAUUUGAUGACCUUGACCUCAGCUUCAUGGUUCAUUGAACAUUGAAAUUUUCCAAGUUUACGUCUUAGUUUCUGUUUUUUCAAAGACUUUUAUGGCUAGGGUCAUGAAACAUUACCAGUAGGUGCAAAAUAAAAUUACGCACAUACCCAUGACAAAAUAAGAUGACCUUGACCCAAAAGUCAUGGUUCAUUUAACAUAAUUUCUCAAAAUGCAGUUUUACGUCCGAGUUUCUGUUUAAGCAAAGACUUUAAAGGCUAGGGUCAUGAAACUUUACACAUAUGUUCAGAAUAAAAUUCCUCACAGACCCAUAUCAAAACUAGAUGACCUUGACCCCAAGGUCAUUGUUCAUUGAACAUUGAUUUUUUCAAGAUGCAGUUUUACGUCCUAGUUUCUAUUUUUACAAAGACUAUAAUAGGUAGGGACAUGAAACUUCACCAAUAUGUUCAAAACAAAAUUACACACCUACCCAUGGAAAAAUUAGAUGACCUUGCUUUCAAGGUCAUGGUUCAUUGAACAUUGAUUUUUUUCUCAAGAUGCAGGUUUACGUCCUAGUUUCCGUUUUUAUAAAGACUAUAAUAGGUAGGGGGCAUGAAACUUCACCAAUAUGUUCAAAACAAAAUUACACACCUACCCAUGGACAAAUUAGAUGACCUUGCCUUCAAGGUCAUGGUUCAUUGAACAUUGAUUUUUUUUCUCAAAUGCAGUUUUUAAGUCCUACUUUCUGUUUUUACAAAGACUACAAUAGCUAAUGGCAUUAAACUUUAAAUCACAGUUUUCAGAAUAAAAUAACGCAACUACCCAUGCCAAUAUUAGAUGACCUUGACCUUAAGGUCAUGGUUCAUUGAACAUUGAUAUUCCCAAGAUACAGUUUACAUCCUAGUUUGUAUUUUUACAAAUAAUAUAAUAGCUACAGAUGUGAAACUUUGUCACAAUGUUCAGAAUAAAAUUAUGUACCUACCCAAACCAUAAUUAGAUGACAUUGACCUCAAGGUCAUUGUUCAUUGAACAUUGAUUUUUUUUUUUUUUGGAUGCAGUUUUACGUUUUAGUUUCUAUUUUAACAGACUAUAAUAGCUAGGUCAUGCAACUUCAUAUGUAUGUUCAGAAUAUAAUUAUACACAGACUCAUAUAAAAAUUAGAAGACCUUGACCUUGAUGUAAUGAUUCAUUGAACAUUGGAACUUUUUUUUAGGAUAGUUUUACAACCUUGACUUGGGUUAAAAAACUUCACCAAGAGUUUCAGAUUAAAAGUAUACACGAUCCAAGGCCAAAAUAAGAUAGGCUUUAUUUCAAGGUCAUUGGUCAAUGAUCAUUCAACUUUGAUUGAUGCAGAUUUACAUCAUAGUUUCCACAAGAUUCAUAUCCAAAAACCAUGGUUAAUAUUGAAUAAAUAAAGUAAUGAAGCAUCAUUUUUUGCCAGAACAACAUGGCAUUUUGUGAGAUAGCUGAAUGUUACAACUUGCAUUAUUAAGGCGGACUCAGUAAUCUGUGAUUACCUAUGUUUUCUAAUUCUUGUGCUUUGAUAAUACUUUAUUGUUAAAAACUGAUUCAAUAUGUUACAGAAAUUAAUAUAGGAAAUGAUGUGAGUUAUUUAAAAAUGAAACCUGAGUCUUAUGUGGUUCACUAUCUUGAUGAUUACAAUACAUGUAGUGUGGUAUGUUGUUAUUGAGUAGAUCCAGUUCAUUUUAUAUGUGUCAAAAUAAAAUAGGUGAAAUUUAAAUAAUACUUUUGGGACAGCACUUGAAAUGUAAAGAUAUUUCAAAUAGUUAUUGAUUAUGAAUAUGAAAAACAUUAAUCAAUUCAGAUAUAAAUACUAAUGACUAAAUACAUGGACAUGCAGUAAACACUUGCAUGAUCAUUAAACUGAUAGGACAUAUUAAAAGUGUCAUCAUAAUUCAUUUUGGUUGUAAUGAAUGAUCUUCCAUAAACAAAACAAAAAUAAUAGUCUUGGAAUACCUCAUAUAUUUAUCAGAAGUUUAAAACUUAAUUUUACUACAAUUUAAACAACGUUGAAUCAAGUUUUCAUUUAUUUGUUUUAAAUUACUUUAUUCUGAAUGUAGCAUACAGAUAUUAGACAUGUCCAUUACGGCGUUGGUAUCUGUUUUAGUAAUUGUUAUUGUUAAUUUUUUUUUUUACUAAAAAUGUAUCCAUGCUAAAAGGUCUGUUACAGUACAUAUCAUAGGUGAAUCCAAUGGGCUCCCCCUUAUGCUAUAAAAGUUUGGUUGAUUAUUUAGUAAAAAUUGGAAAUCACUGGAGUGGGCCCUCCCUUUUUUAAUUUCUGUAUCCGCCACUGCAUAUUUUUCAUAUUGGCUAUAUAAUAUAAAGAAAGGUGUAUUUUUUAUCGUUAAAAUACCAUGAGUGGGAUGCAAGUAUACAAUCUUUUAUUACAAUACACAUUCUUAACAUUCAUAUAGAGUAACUUAUUAGACCUUCAUUUGUGGCAGUACAGGAGCUUUAACCAAAAUGAGUAAAAAGUUUUUUGUAUUUUACUUUGCAUAUUCAUGUAAAUGCCUGUGUGAUUCAGUGUAUAUUUAUUCUUAUUAUAUGCUCAAUUAACUGUUUGUCUGAAUUCUUAUACGGUUAUGCAACUGUGUCAUAAUGUUGAAUUUAUUAACUGUGUUCUCGAAAUCUGUCAGUUAUAAAUGACCAAAACAUGCAGGACUCUUAAUAUUUUAGAUAAUUUAUAUAGCAAUCAACUGGUAAAAUUAUAAAAAACUGAUAAGCAAAAGCAGAUGUCAAGAUCUCAUUAUUUAUAGACUUUACACAUGCUCAUUUAAUUUAUUGUACAUAUGUAGCAAGUACUUAAAUCAUGUUAAACUGGGUGAAAAUUUUAGAUACUCAAUUUUCGACUCUUCCUUGACACCAUUUGUGACGAUGGUCUCGAAAAACAAGGAUAUACUGUCAGAUGGGGAGGAAAAAUGACAGUGUAAGGGGAUAGCAAUUCCCCAAGCACUUAAAAGAGUACCUUGUAGAUUUAAAAAAACAAAACAGUAGGCUGAUGCCACUACAAGGGCUGAUCCUUUACACUGCAAAAUGGAGAGGGAUUUAUAUAAGUUGUAAUAACUUGUUUCCCAAUUCACCGUGAAUAAAUAAGUUUAAAGUAUUAUUAUCAUAUGCAUUUUGACAUGUUUAGUACAAUACAUGUUUAGUUAUUUUUGUAUUCAGAUACGAGUUUAUAGAUGUGGCAAUAGAUUUGUAUUUCAAUGAACAUGAAUGUGUAUGUCCUGGUUUCACUCUAUUCAUAAUAUUAAUUAAAAUAAUGCAAGGAUGAAAGGUACCACCAGUUUUGCAGCACCAGUGCUAUUUAAAGUUAUAAAAAAAUAAUUAGUUAUCAAGCAUUAAAUUUAUGCAUAAUUUAACACAAUAAUACCUACAUGUAUUCUUAAACUAUUUUUAUUUUCAUAUACACUUCAAGGACUUAAAAACUUACUGACGGACUUGGACCACCACUAAUUCACUGAUGUACAUGAGUGUAUCAUGAAAGCAUAAAAUAAUAUACUGUACUUACAUGUAAACAGUAUGCAUUAAAAAAUAUGUGCAAUGUACAUCAUACUACAUGUAUUGAAAGAAUUUAAUAUGUAUAUUUAUAGAACCUUUUGCAGGUUAGUAUUUCAAUUUUCCAUUGAUAAAUUAUACUUUUUACAUACAUGUAUGAUAAGUGCACAAAUAACUAGCACAGUGACACUAAAAAGGUAACAAUCAAAUAAUAAAUUAUAGCUGCCUAAAAAACUGUGUGGAUAAACAUACAUGUAUUGCAAAUAGUCCUUCAAAUAUGUAUAUUUUUUACUGUUUUUAUUUUUUAGGCUAAUAUAUUUAUGGUGUGAUUUGAUAUCAUUAACAUGAAUUGUGAAAUUGCUUCCACUACACUUUCAUCAAACCUCAUGAUGUUCACCAAAAUUUGUGUGUGUAAACCAUGAGCCUCAAGUUUACUAGUUGAUAAAGUUUUGCAACAGGACAUCAAAAGUGUAUCCAUGGUUUGAUGAAGUACAUGUAGCAAGGUAAUUAUUGUAUAUGUUUAAAAUGUAUGUUUGCAUAAAAGACAAUUGUUGGGAUUGACUCAACAUCUGAUAUGUGUCUGUCUUAAUUGACAUCAACUUUCAUCUAAGGUAUAUGAUCAUUUUGAUGCUGUUUGCUAUUGUUUUUAGCACAUCAGAAGUAUUAAUUUGUGUUGCUUCCAUUUCAGAGAAUUGACACAUGCAUGUUUUCUUUUUUAUUUGAAUGGUAAUUUAAUUACAUUUACUGUACAAAAAAAGCAAUUACAAAAAAACAUCAUACUUUUUUUUUACAAUAAUUUUACAAUUAUUAAAAAAUUGCAAGUAAAAAUUACAAGUAAAAUUUAUAAUUGUAAGAUUACAAUUACAAAACUUUCUAUUUUUUCUUAUACAGCUAACAUUGUUAUUGUUUGCUCCUAUAUACAAGUACAUGUAUAUGCCACUGCACAUGUAUCUAUGAUGGAAGUCCUCCCAAGAGACAUCAACACAGAGAAUUCACUGAACAUUUAAAUGGACAUGGAUGUUUGUCAAAGGUCAUGUUAGAUUGAACACCUGUAUUACCUUAUAAUUAUUAAUGAACAGUAAGUUGUUAUUAUCUGUAUUUUUUAAAGUAUAACUAAUUUGUCUUAUUGAUUAUCAAGAAUAUAUCACCAGCAAAGUAACUCAAGAAUGUGCCUAGCAUGAGUUAGUUUAAGUCUGUUUGACGUGUGUGGUAUAUUUUUUAUUAUUUGAAAAACAAAUAAGUUUUACUUUUAAUUAUAUAGAUUUUAUAUUUAUGUUUUAGACAAUAUCACAUGUGCUAUUAAUGAAUAGUGGAUGAUUUGAUUUUGCCAUGUUGUAUCACGUAAGAAUAUCUGAGUGGAAAUGUGUUUAAUAUAUUGCUUGAUAUUAUGUGUUUUAUUCACCCUAGAAGGUUAGAACCGUCAUCUAUAUACAUGUAAUAGUUAAAUUUUAAACAAGGUACAAAAUAGUAUAAACAAAAUAUAUGAAGAACUAUGUGGAGAUGUAUUUAAAAUUAUUUCUGAUUGCAAAAUCUACACCAAAACAACAGAAAAUAUUGAUUUAGUGUUGCUUUAUGCUAACCUUAGCAAUAUUUCAGCUAUAUGACACAAGCCAAUUAUUGACAGCAACAUUAUUUAAACAAAUGACAUUUAAUUAACACCUUUUCAUAACUUGCAUAAUUUAUUGAAAGGCAUUACCUACUUGUAGAUUACAAAUAUUAUAAUGGAUUAUACAUGUAGAUAAUACUAAAGGAUCAAGUAUGUUGGAUUCUAACCCAUUCUUAUUCAUGAGAUUUUCUGAAAAAAAAACUUGGUUCAACAUAUUGUUGUACUUGGGGCAUAUACUUGUGAUAUAAAAAAGGGGAUAACAGCAAAUGACUACAAUGCCACACAAAACAUCAAAACACACCUAAACAACUCCCCAACACUCAACCUCACUCAAAGCACAAAUAUAGAGACAGAGACAAGACAACAAGAAAGCCGGGAAAUCCUGACUUGGUACAGGUAUUCCACCAGUGGAAUAGUUGGAUUGAACCGGUUAGUGAGUACUCAAACCUCUCCAUUAUAUUCCCGACCAAAUUCAAACACACACACUGAAAGACACACAAUAAGAUACCUGCACAGUAUACAGUCAACAAUAUCGACCUCAUACUAUAACAACCAACAAAUCAAAUAAAAGCAUUAAAAAACUGAAGAACACCUACAUUACAAAAUGCCAAAACACAAAAAUAGAUUUAAACCGGUCCCAAAUACACUAAGUAGAGACGAGUUUGACUCAUAACCACACGUAGUAUGCCUAUAAAGAAACAAGUAGGCAAGUACAAGCCAAGUGUGUACUGUCAAUUUGAACACGUUGUGUGUGGGUAUGUAAUAAACCAUCCCAAGCGUCCACGGGACCUGUUUAAACAUAUUAUAAAAUAAAAUAAGGCAAUCAUAACCGGAAUUUAAUAAGUUUAAUAAAAUAUAUUUAUAACAGUGCUAAAUCACUGCCUAUUGUGAUGGUGAUUAAAGGUGAACUAAGUCUUGACGCUAGACGCGUCAUUUAUUGAUCUUGAAACUUAUCGAAUGCAAAAAAUAAGAAUAGAUUUAAAAUAGCCAGUACUGUAAAACUGAUACACAAAUAAUAUAAAAAGACAAUAAUUACAAUAAUCACAAACAAAAGCAGGGUCAAAUUGUGCUCGCAACUACUGGAAGCUAGCUAAGACUAAUAUAUCUGUUGGUAUAAAAACUGUCGCACAAUUGAAAAAUUAUCACAAAUUACACUCCAAUUGGGAUUGGUUUGGUGCCAUUCAGUCAUCAAAAUAAAUUGAAAUCGGCAGUUUUAGUGAGAGGCCAGUAUUUAUUGAGAAUCUUCAAGUCAUUGGAACAUAGUGUUAAAUUAACCGAUACAACCAAAAUAUCAUGUUUAUAUCCUUUACAAACAUAAGAUUUUAAAGUUUUACCCAGUCUUGAAAGUUUGAUUUUUCAGUUUUUUACAUUUAUUUACAACAUUGCCAUAAAAUUUAGGAUGCGAAACACCUUCUGAGAUAAGUUGUCUACGGGUUACAUUAUAUUUAAUUACAAGAUGUUCAUACUUGUUAUAAAAUUUUCGGAAAGUAGCCAACAGUUUAUGAAACCUAAAUCCUUGUUGAAGUAAUGUUUUAAUUAAGUGUCAUUAUUUAUUUUUACAAAUGUUUUUGUAGGAUACCACUGUAUGAUUAUUGUAUAGUUCACAUAGUGACAUAGUGUGUAUGUUGGUGAAACAGUUUUACUACCACAAUGAACAUAUAUAAUUAUGAUAAUACAAAAUUUGAAAUUGUAAGUAUAGAAGUAUUCUUAAUAUUGUUUUAAGUGUAUAAUAUCAAUAUAUGAAUAUGGAACAGCAGUAUUUGAAUACACAACAUCUGACAACUUAGCAGUAAUAUCUGGAGUUCCACAGGGAAGUGUGCAAGGAUGUAUUAUUCUUUUUCUUAUGUACAUAAAAAACAACUAUCCACCGAAAUUUAUAACAUUUUGAAAAUAUUGAUUUAUAACAUUACAAAAUAAUUUUUUUUCAAAUUAAAUGAAAACAGUGGUAAUUUGCAUAUCUGAAACCCCCGCUUUGUAUAUUACAAAAAAGGGUGCACUCGACUUCCACCCAUAUGAGAAAAAGUUGGCCGGUUACUUGCCCAAGGUCGGCGGUUUACUCCGGGUACUCCGGUUUCCUCCGUCAGUAAAGCUGGUCACCAUGAUAUAGCUGAAAUAUUGCUGAAAGUGGCGUAAACCACCAAUCAAUCAAACAAACAAACAAACAAAACAUAUCUGAAACAGUGGCUAUUAUUAAGAUGUCAAAUUUUUAACCAAACAAAGACCUAUGUUGUCAUUUUGUAACACAAACAAUGUCAGCAGACAACAUUUUGAAAGAGGUCUGUCCAAGGAGAACCUAAGCUAGGUUUUGUAUAAUUUGUCCCGGUUGUUCUGGAGCACCAAAAUUAAAGUGUUGAUAAUGGACACCUGAGUGAUGGCAAACAUCACCUGAGCCAAGGCUCUGGUGAGAAAAUCAACAUGUUAACAUUAUACCACAUUAACACAUUGCAUCAUAAAAUAUUCUGUUUCAAUUUAACAAAACUGUUGCUUAUAACAAUUGUAUGUAAAAUCAGAACUUCUACCUUAUUUUGAGGCAAAAAUUAUUUUUGUUGAGAAAAAAUUUAGUAAACAUCAUAGGCAACUAUGAUUUUCAAAAACCUUAACCAGUCACACAGUUGUUACCUUUAUUUAAUACAUUACUUCAAAUAUUGACAAUGCAUUGAAACAUUGUGUAUAUAUAUAUAUAUAUUUUUUAUAAUUUCAGAUAAUGGAGAAGAUGAUGUAUGUUAAGAGAUAUUGAACAUGACAAAUAAUAAUGGAAGUUAAUUUUGUUCUUGUCUUUUAAUAAUGAUGACAGCUUAAUGUUGGAAGGUUAACUUUAUAUCAGUACAGUCCAUCUGAUAAGCACAUAAUGGUGUUAACUUGUUGCGCAUAUUGUGCAUAAAUGUAUCUGGAACCUCUGUUUUCAUGUAGUGUAAGCAUUAUCAAGGGAGACAAUUCAAACACAAAUAUUGUUUUGCU